rnacentral:rRNA from 1 species
UACGUAGGGGGCAAGCGUUGUCCGGAAUUAUUGGGCGUAAAGAGCGCGUAGGCGGUUGUUUAAGUCUGUCGUGAAAUCCCCGGGCUCAACCUGGGAAUGGCGAUGGAAACUGGGCAGCUAGAGUGUGUCAGAGGAUGGUGGAAUUCCCGGUGUAGCGGUGAAAUGCGUAGAGAUCGGGAGGAACAUCAGUGGCGAAGGCGGCCAUCUGGGACAACACUGACGCUGAAGCACGAAAGCGUGGGGAGCAAACAGG